rnacentral:tRNA from 7 species
GCCGGCGUAGCUCAACUGGUAGAGCAACUGACUUGUAAUCAGUAGGUUGCGGGUUCAAGUCCUGUCGCCGGCUCCA